UGGACCACCGCGCCAAUAUUAGGAACAGGUUGAAAUAUCUGAAAGCAGUGAUUAGAAUCCUGGAUGGUGCAUGCUCUGAGAGCGGGCUGGGCUCUGUGCUGUGGGAUUAUGGGAAGCAAGAGACAAGCACCACUUGGAGAGACUCAGUUAAACUGGAAUUUUAGAUAAACAGUUAACACUUUAAACAAUAUAAGUAUAUCCCAAAUAUGGCACAAGAAAUACUUUUAUCCUACAAAUUAUUCAUUAUUCAAAUGCAGAUUUGACUGAGUAACCUGGUUUUGUUGUUUGCUUGCUUGCUUUUUGCUAAAUCUGCCAACCCUGUACAUCAGGCUUAUGUGGCAUUCAGGGUCCCGAAGGCAGGACUGGUCCCCACCAGACUCACGGACUUACACGCCAGCCUUCCAUCUAGCUUGAGGUUCAGAGACCUGCUUCCGCUCUGCAGCGCACUGCACGAGUAUCUUCAGGCUUCCGCACUCCUGCGGGCACCCUUCCUUCUACCUAGCAUGUCUCUCUGCCUCUCCUGUCUGUGGCUAACUACUACUUUCACCUGGAUAGCUUUCUCUGUAACUUUUGUGACUUUUCUUUCGCAUUACAAAUGUAAUCUAUGUUCUAUAUGGAAGAUUAAAAAAAAAUCAAGACAGACCAAAAGAAAAUCACUCACACACAUACACAUACACACACACACACAAACACACACAGAGAAAACAUUACUUUGUAAACUUUUGUGUUUUUUUUUGAGAUGGAGUCUCGCUGUUGUCGCCCA
rnacentral:lncRNA from 1 species